GAUGAAGAACGUAGCGAAAUGCGAUAAGUAAUGUGAAUUGCAGAAUUCAGUGAAUCAUCGAAUCUUUGAACGCACAUUGCGCCCCCUGGUAUUCCGGGGGGCAUGCCUGUCCGAGCAUCAUUACAACCCUCAAGCUCAGCUUGGUGUUGGGCCCCGCCGCCCCGGCGGGCCCUAAAGUCAGUGGCGGUGCCGUCCGGCUCCGAGCGUAGUAAUUCUUCUCGCUCUGGAGGUCCGGUCGUGUGCUCGCCAGCAACCCCCAAUUCUUUUCAGGUUGACCUCGGAUCAGGUAGGGAUACCCGCUGAACUUAAGCAUAUCAAUAAGCGGAGGA
rnacentral:misc_RNA from 1 species